UACGUAGGGGGCAAGCGUUGUCCGGAAUCAUUGGGCGUAAAGAGCGUGUAGGCGGCCCGGUAAGUCCGUUGUGAAAGUCCAGGGCUCAACCCUGGAAUGCCGAUGGAUACUGCCGGGCUAGAGUUCGGAAGAGGCGAGUGGAAUUCCUGGUGUAGCGGUGGAAUGCGCAGAUAUCAGGAGGAACACCAAUGGCGAAGGCAGCUCGCUGGGACGGUACUGACGCUGAGACGCGAAAGCGUGGGGAGCAAACAGG
rnacentral:rRNA from 1 species